GGGGAUUUAGCUCAGCGGCAUAAGCGCCUGCCUUGUAAGCAGGCAAUCUUGAGUUCAAUCCCUG
rfam:Cavia porcellus supercont2_52 genomic scaffold, whole genome shotgun sequence.